ACGUACUGUGCGAACGUUAUUCGGAAUCACUGGGCUUAAAGGGUGCGUAGGCGGUCAAUUAAGUAGGGUGUGAAAGCUCUCGGCUCAACCGAGGAACUGCGCUCUAAACUGGUUGACUUGAGUGAGAUAGGGGUGUGCGGAACUUCCGGUGGAGCGGUGAAAUGUGUUGAUAUCGGAAGGAACACCAGCAGCGAAAGCGGCACACUGGGUCUCAACUGACGCUGAGGCACGAAAGCUAGGGUAGCGAACGGG
rnacentral:rRNA from 1 species